rnacentral:rRNA from 1 species
UACGAAGGGGGCUAGCGUUGUUCGGAAUUACUGGGCGUAAAGCGCGCGCAGGCGGCUCUUCAAGUCAGGGGUGAAAGCCCAGAGCUCAACUCUGGAACUGCCUUUGAGACUGAAGAGCUUGAGUACGGGAGAGGUGAGUGGAAUUCCCAGUGUAGAGGUGAAAUUCGUAGAUAUUGGGAAGAACACCGGUGGCGAAGGCGGCUCACUGGCUCGUAUCUGACGCUCAGGCGCGACAGCGUGGGGAUCAAACAGG